rnacentral:rRNA from 1 species
UGUGACAUACCACUUGUUGCCUCGGCGGAUCAGCCCGCUCCCGGUAAAACGGGACGGCCCGCCAGAGGACCCCUAAACUCUGUUUCUAUAUGUAACUUCUGAGUAAAACCAUAAAUAAAUCAAAACUUUCAACAACGGAUCUCUUGGUUCUGGCAUCGAUGAAGAACGCAGCAAAAUGCGAUAAGUAAUGUGAAUUGCAGAAUUCAGUGAAUCAUCGAAUCUUUGAACGCACAUUGCGCCCGCCAGUAUUCUGGCGGGCAUGCCUGUUCGAGCGUCAUUUCAACCCUCAAGCACAGCUUGGUGUUGGGACUCGCGUUAAUUCCCGUUCCUCAAAUUGAUUGGCGGUCACGUCGAGCUUCCAUAGCGUAGUAGUAAAACCCUCGUUACUGGUAAUCGUCGCGGCCACGCCGUUAAACCCCAACUUCUGAAUGUUGACCUCGGAUCAGGUAGGAAUACCCGCUGAACUUAAGCAUAUCAAUAA